rnacentral:miRNA from 1 species
CCCAGGGUGGUCCCCGAGAGGGUGGU